AACGAACGCUGGCGGCGUGCCUAACACAUGCAAGUCGUGCGAGAAAGUUCCUUCGGGAGCGAGUAAAGCGGCGCACGGGUGAGUAACACGUAGGUAACCUGCCCCCCAGUCUGGAACAACUAGAGGAAACUCUAGCUGAUGCCGGAUGAGACCACGAUCCCUUCGGGGUUGCGGCCAAGAUGGCCUCUACUUGUAAGCUAUCGCUGAGGGAUGGGCCGUGCGGGCCAUUAGCUUGUUGGUGAGGUAACGGCUCACCAAGGCUGUGAUGGCUAGCUGGUCUGAGAGGAUGACCAGCCACACUGGGACUGAGACACGGCCCAGACUCCUACGGGAGGCAGCAGUGGGGAAUAUGCGCAAUGGGCGAAGCCUGACGCAGCGACGCCGCGUGGUGGAUGAAGGCC
rnacentral:rRNA from 1 species